UCCUACGGGGGGCAGCAGUGGGGAAUAUUGCACAAUGGGGGAAACCCUGAUGCAGCGACGCCGCGUGAGCGAAGAAGUAUUUCGGUAUGUAAAGCUCUAUCAGCAGGGAAGAAAAAUGACGGUACCUGAGUAAGAAGCACCGGCUAAAUACGUGCCAGCAGCCGCGGUAAUACGUAUGGUGCAAGCGUUAUCCGGAUUUACUGGGUGUAAAGGGAGCGCAGACGGCAGUGCAAGUCUGGAGUGAAAGCCCGGGGCCCAACCCCGGAACUGCUCUGGAAACUGUGCGGCUAGAGUACUGGAGGGGG
rnacentral:rRNA from 1 species